AUUGAACGCUGGCGGCAGGCCUAACACAUGCAAGUCGAGCGGAUGAAGGGAGCUAGCUCCUGGAUUCAGCGGCGGACGGGUGAGUAAUGCCUAGGAAUCUGCCUGGUAGUGGGGGAUAACGUCCGGAAACGGGCGCUAAUACCGCAUACGUCCUGAGGGAGAAAGUGGGGGAUCUUCGGACCUCACGCUAUCAGAUGAGCCUAGGUCGGAUUAGCUAGUUGGUGGGGUAAAGGCCUACCAAGGCGACGAUCCGUAACUGGUCUGAGAGGAUGAUCAGUCACACUGGAACUGAGACACGGUCCAGACUCCUACGGGAGGCAGCAGUGGGGAAUAUUGGACAAAGGGCGAAAGCCUGAUCCAGCCAUGCCGCGUGUGUGAAGAAGGUCUUCGGAUUGUAAAGCACUUUAAGUUGGGAGGAAGGGCAGUAAGUUAAUACCUUGCUGUUUUGACGUUACCAACAGAAUAAGCACCGGCUAACUUCGUG
rnacentral:rRNA from 1 species